ensembl:lncRNA
UGACCUUGAGAAGCUGGCCCGUAGUAAAUGACAGCGUUUGGGCCAAGGAGGUCAUGACCUGCCACCUGCUCCACCGCCCCCUGGAUCCACCCCGGAGUGCCAUCAAGGGCCUCCUCUGCUCUGUCCCAGAAUGCCCCUGGUGAGAUAAAGAGUGUCUGCACUGUCUGUCAUUGAAGUGAGUCACUGUAUGACACCAGAGGAGAUGUGUGUGUGUGUGUGUGUGUGUGUGUGUGUGUGUCUGUGUGUGUGUGUGUGUGUGUGUGUGUGUGUGUGUAUCUGUCUAUCUCUUUUGUGUGUGUAGAGUGUGUGUCUUUUCGUGUGUGAGCAAUAGCCUACUUAAAUGAAAGCAAGGAGAAUAGGACGGCCCCAGCAUGUGUUUUCCGUUUUUCUAUCAAGCACAAAAGCCUUAGCGAGCCGAGCCUUGAGACUUAACAUAUCCCAACCCUCCACCUCCUGCAGUACAACCUCAUCAAGCAGAAUGAGCAUCUUAUCACUCCUAUUUCAAAUGAAGUUUGAAGUGUACCACACAAGAUGUCCCUAAAAGACACUCAUGGCCUGAGCUUUUCAAAGGAUCUUCAUUAGUUUGGUGGCUCUUAGUUUUCAGUGGCUUUUAAUGUCUGCGUCUGUUCCACCGUGUGGUGUGUAUGAAGUGUUUAAGCUCUCGGCCAAUGGUGUUUAAGCUCUCGGCCAAUGGUGUUUAAGCUCUCGGCCAAUGGUGUUUUGAUUAAGGCUUAUGUCUGUCCAAUUAUUUACAUGUCCAAGGUCAAGUGUGCAGCUGACCACGCACUCUUGCAGCCAGCAUCUUGGACCAUUUGUGAACCAGCCAGACUUUUUUAGUUUUUCUUGCUGAACGUUUACCAAAAAAUACAUUACACAGCUCAUUUAUCAGGGAGGUUAUGUAGACAAGGAAUAGGAAUAGGAUAUUUGUGAUUGAUAUAUUGGAAUUGAAGAGAUGCGUGUGUAUGUGUCUGUGCAUGAAUAUGACUGGUGCUGAUGCAGUAAGACAGGUGUUUCAGUAAGACAGGUGUUUCAGUGAGUGGGAGACGCUUGGUGCUGAUGCAGUAAGACAGGUGUUUCAGUAAGACAGGUGUUUCAGUGAGUGGGAGACGCUCCUCUCUCUUCUGUGUCUCCUAAGACUGCUGACUCUGAGUCACUCCGAGCGCUGCCAAGCGUCUGUCAGACCACUUACAAUGAUCAAUGGCAGCAGUCGCCCAUCAAUGAGGUCACAGAUUAUUGAUGACCUCACAUCUCCCAGAGGUCAUCUGGCCUUCCUUUCAUCCAUACACUGCCUUCAUUUAUCACACUUCACAUUCCCAUCACUGUCUGGAUAAGAGGAACCUAAUAUACUUGUAGCUUCAUGGGAGACUAUUUGAGAGCCAUUUCCUUUACUGUGCUUGUUGUUCUGAAUCAGCACUACAUUGUUAAGACUGCCAGACUUUGCCUUCCUUGACAUAUUUCUUUCUUCAAUUCUAUGCAUGAGAUGUCCUAGCCAAACAGGGUAUUAGUCUAGCUGUAUAAUUCCUCAAGCUGAAUGUAUGUGUGCCCUAUAAGACUGAUCAUCACUGGUUCAUAAUCAUGAGGUUUUUGCAGCUCCUCUUUGCACAAAGCUCUUUGGGGGAAUUUAUGAUUUUGUUGCAGAGAUUAAGCAUUUCUGUGCAGUAGAUGCAGGAAGGGGUAGGAGCAGUGAUGUUAAAGGGGGGAUCGACCCAGGGAGAGGCUAAAAUGCUGUGUGCUAGGAGCAGUGAUGUUAAAGGGGGG